UGGCGGCGUGCUUAACACAUGCAAGUCGAACGGUGAUGACCAGCUUGCUGGUCGGAUCAGUGGCGAACGGGUGAGUAACACGUGAGUAACCUGCCCCAGACUCUGGGAUAAGCCUUGGAAACGAGGUCUAAUACUGGAUAUGAGAUGCCCCUGCAUGGGGAGUGUCUGGAAAGAUUUAUCGGUCUGGGAUGGACUCGCGGCCUAUCAGCUUGUUGGUGGGGUAAUGGCCUACCAAGGCGACGACGGGUAGCCGGCCUGAGAGGGCGACCGGCCACACUGGGACUGAGACACGGCCCAGACUCCUACGGGAGGCAGCAGUGGGGAAUAUUGCACAAUGGGCGCAAGCCUGAUGCAGCGACGCCGCGUGAGGGAUGAAGGCCUUCGGGUUGUAAACCUCUUUCAGCAGGGAAGAAGCGCAAGUGACGGUACCUGCAGAAGAAGCGCCGGCUAACUACGUGCCAGCAGCCGCGGUAAUACGUAGGGCGCAAGCGUUGUCCGGAAUUAUUGGGCGUAAAGAGCUCGUAGGCGGUUUGUCGCGUCUGGUGUGAAAACUCAAGGCUCAACCUUGAGCUUGCAUCGGGUACGGGCAGACUAGAGUGCGGUAGGGGUGACUGGAAUUCCUGGUGUAGCGGUGGAAUGCGCAGAUAUCAGGAGGAACACCGAUGGCGAAGGCAGGUCACUGGGCCGCAACUGACGCUGAGGAGCGAAAGCAUGGGGAGCGAACAGGAUUAGAUACCCUGGUAGUCCAUGCCGUAAACGUUGGGCACUAGGUGUGGGGCUCAUUCCACGAGUUCCGUGCCGCAGCAAACGCAUUAAGUGCCCCGCCUGGGGAGUACGGCCGCAAGGCUAAAACUCAAAGGAAUUGACGGGGGCCCGCACAAGCGGCGGAGCAUGCGGAUUAAUUCGAUGCAACGCGAAGAACCUUACCAAGGCUUGACAUACACCGGAAACUUCCAGAGAUGGUU
rnacentral:rRNA from 1 species